AAACCAACAGGGAUUGCCUCAGUAACGGCGAGUGAAGCGGCAAAAGCUCAAAUUUGAAAUCCCCCCGGGGAGUUGUAAUUUGAAGAUUGCGUCUUGGAGGCGACCGUGUCUAUGUUCCUUGGAACAGGACGUCACAGAGGGUGAGAAUCCCGUGCGGCACGGCCCCCGGCUCCUUAUAAGGCGCUCUCGACGAGUCGAGUUGUUUGGGAAUGCAGCUCAAAGUGGGUGGUAAAUUCCAUCUAAAGCUAAAUACAGGCGAGAGACCGAUAGCGAACAAGUACAGUGAUGGAAAGAUGAAAAGCACUUUGAAAAGAGAGUGAAACAGCACGUGAAAUUGUUGAAAGGGAAGGGCAUGCCGUCAGAUUGUCAGUGUGGGUAAGAAGCGGGGUACAAAGACUGUGGAACGUGGCCCUCGGGUGUUAUAGCCGCAGUUCAUGCCCC
rnacentral:rRNA from 1 species